UACGUAGGGCGCAAGCGUUGUCCGGAAUUAUUGGGCGUAAAGAGCUCGUAGGCGGUUUGUCGCGUCUGUCGUGAAAGCCCACGGCUUAACCGUGGGUCUGCGGUGGAUACGGGCAGACUAGAGUGCGGUAGGGGAGACUGGAAUUCCUGGUGUAGCGGUGAAAUGCGCAGAUAUCAGGAGGAACACCGGUGGCGAAGGCGGGUCUCUGGGCCGUAACUGACGCUGAGGAGCGAAAGCAUGGGGAGCGAACAGG
rnacentral:rRNA from 1 species